UUGCAAUAGUUGGUAUGUAAUUGUUUAAAUAUCCUUCAGCAUUUGAUUUCAUUUAGGUGCAAUUCUAUUCUCUUCUACUUAAAAAUAAAUAAAUAAUGCAUUGAACCAUGUUGUGAGUAGAAGGUAUUGAGGUUAAUCGUAUUUAGAAGAAAUGACGUAACAUUGCAGUUCUAUUGUAAAUUAGCUUAGAAGUAAAUAAGUUAAGAACUAUAUCUCCUAAAAAGAAGUGGUAGAAAGUGAUCUGACUUUCCACUCAAGGCAGGCCAUUUAAAUGGGGCUAUCAUGUUGAUAUUUUGCGUGUUCUGCAAGAGUUGCCUUGAGAGUAGGACCACUUGUUCUUUGAGUAUCCUCUCUCAAAGAGACUAUGGGAGCAAGUUAAGUCAUGAUGUUUAAUAAAAUCCCAGGUAUAUAGCUUGCGUUAAGUGGCAAAACAAACUUACACUUUUGGUCCUCUAACAGUGGGGGUGGUUUAAUUUCAUCCCUACACAUUUAUUUGUGUCAAUUUUGUUUCUCAACUGACACAAUCAAGUCAACAUAUAAGGAUACAAUUGAUUUGAUUUUGAAAGUUGAAGGAUGAAAUUGGCACAAUUAGUAGUUGAGGGACCCUAAUUUUAAAAUUUGAAUGACAAAAGUGACACAAUUAAAUGUAUAGGGACAAAACUGGCCCACACUUUUUUAUUUAUCACACUGCUCCAAUAAUUACUGUUUUUUGUUAUUUACUAUCUUUUCAUAUUUGGUUUUACUAUUGAGAACUUCUAGGCUUGGAUAGAAAGUGCAAGACAAUGCAACUCUUGAGAAAUUUCUUGCAAUAAUCAAUUUUAAGAUCCUUACUAGGUUAAAAGACAGGUUCAACCCUUAGAGACCAAAAUGCAAUAGCUCUAUCAAGGCAGGUUGAAUCAUGUAAUGCUCAGAAUGAGGGAUAUCACUUCGCUGGAUGUGAAAGGUGAUGUUGAGCUCCUAUCUUCGAUAUCAAGAUUUCUAUUUUCCCUUUAUAUCUAGUUGUAAUAGUUUCUUUCAAAUCUUAUGUAGUUCUAUUUGUAAUCGUAGGGCCAGCAUAGUACAGUCAAAGAAAAUCCUACCAAUUCAUUUUUUUUUCCUUGAGUUAUUGAAUCAAACAUGCAUCCAAAUUCUGUUCUAAAUUUAAAUAAUUCAAUUGAAGAUGAUUCUCAAAUUUUUUUGGCCAAA